CCGGGCUUCUCUUUGGGGAGUAGCCAGCUUCCGGGUCAUCCGGAAGAGCCCGUGUCAACAUUCUCGGCAACAUCUUGCCGUGGCGCGGGUAGCCAAUCAGGUAGGCGAGACCAUAGACGUAUCCUGCGGCCAGGCUGGGCGCGCAGGCACGUCCAUGGACUUCGCCCGGCCAAG
rnacentral:sRNA from 1 species